UACGUAGGGGGCUAGAGUUGUCCGGAUUUACUGGGUGUAAAGGGUGCUCAGGUGGACUUGUAAGUCAGAUGUGAAAUUCCAAAGCUUAACUUUGGAGCUGCCUUUGAUACUGCAAGCCUGGAGUUUGAGAGAGGGUAAUGGAAUAUCUGGUGUAGCAGUGAAAUGCGUAGAUAUCAGAUAGAACACCAAUGGCGAAGGCAGUUACCUGGCUCAAAACUGACGCUAAAGCACGAAAGUGUGGGGAGCAAACAGG
rnacentral:rRNA from 1 species